rnacentral:rRNA from 1 species
AAUCUGCCCCUUGGUUCGGAAUAACAGUUGGAAACGACUGCUAAUACCGGAUGAUGACGUAAGUCCAAAGAUUUAUCGCCGAGGGAUGAGCCCGCGUAGGAUUAGGUAGUUGGUGUGGUAAAGGCGCACCAAGCCGACGAUCCUUAGCUGGUCUGAGAGGAUGAUCAGCCACACUGGGACUGAGACACGGCCCAGACUCCUACGGGAGGCAGCAGUGGGGAAUAUUGGACAAUGGGCGAAAGCCUGAUCCAGCAAUGCCGCGUGAGUGAUGAAGGCCUUA